rnacentral:rRNA from 1 species
GCUUAGCCCUAAACCUCAGUAGUUAAACCAACAAAACUACUCGCCAGAAUACUACAAGCAACCGCUUGAAACUCAAAGGACUUGGCGGUGCUUCACACCCCCCUAGAGGAGCCUGUCCCAUAAUCGAUAAACCCCGAUCCACCCCACCCUCUCUUGCUCAGCCUAUAUACCGCCAUCUUCAGCGAACCCUGAUAAAGGUUAACAAAGUGAGCGCAAAUGCCCCCUUUCGCAAAAACGUUAGGUCAAGGUGUAGCCUAUGAGAUGGAAAAAGAUGGGCUACAUUUUCUAUACUAGAAAACCCACGAUAACUCUCAUGAAACCUAAGAGUCUAAGGAGGAUUUAGCAGUAAAUUAAGAAUAGAGUGCUUAAUUGAACGAGGCCAUAAAGCACGC